ACGAACGCUGGCGGCGUGCUUCACACCUGCCAGUCGAACGGAAAGGCCUGCUUUCCCUUGUGGAUUGCGGGUACUCGAGUGGCGAACGGGUGAGUAACACGUGAGUGAUCUGCCCCCAACUUGGGUAUAAGCCUGGGAAACUGGGUCUAAUUCCCGAUAGGACUGCAGGGUGGUGCCUGUGGUGGAAAACGAUUUUCUAGUGGUUGGGGAUGAGCUCGCGGCCUAUCAGCUUGUUGGUGGGGUAAUGGCCUACCAAGGCGGCGACGGGUAGCCGGCCUGAGAGGGUGGACGGCCACAUUGGGACUGAGAUACGGCCCAGACUCCUACGGGAGGCAGCAGUGGGGAAUAUUGCACAAUGGGCGGAAGCCUGAUGCAGCGACGCCGCGUGGGGGAUGACGGCCUUCGGGUUGUAAACUCCUUUCGACCGCGAGGAAGCCACCUGGUUGGAAGGGUGGUGACGGUAGUGGUAGAAGAAGCACCGGCUAACUACGUG
rnacentral:rRNA from 1 species